rnacentral:rRNA from 1 species
AUUGAACGCUGGCGGCAGGCUUAACACAUGCCAUUCGAGCGGGGGCAGGUAGCUUGCUACCGGACCUAGCGGCGGACGGGUGAGUAAUGCUUAGGAAUCUGCCUAUUAGUGGGGGACAACAUCUCGAAAGGGAUGCUAAUACCGCAUACGUCCUACGGGAGAAAGCAGGGGAUCUUCGGACCUUGCGCUAAUAGAUGAGCCUAAGUCGGAUUAGCUAGUUGGUGGGGUAAAGGCCUACCAAGGCGACGAUCUGUAGCGGGUCUGAGAGGAUGAUCCGCCACACUGGGACUGCGCCCCGGCCCAGACUCCUACGGGAGGCAGCAGUGGUGAAUAUUGGACAAUGGGGGGAACCCUGAUCCAGCCAUACCGCGUGUGUGAAGAAGGCCUUAUGGUUGUAAAGCACUUUAAGCGAGGAGGAGGCUACUCUAGUUAAUACCUAGGGAUAGUGGACGUUACUCGCAGAAUAAGCACCGGCUAACUCUGUGCCAGCAGCCGCAGUAA